rnacentral:tRNA from 2 species
GGAUCCUUAGCUCAGACGGUUAGAGCACCUGACUCAUAAUCAGGGGGUCUUCGGUUCAAAUCCGAAAGGAUCCA